GGAAGCUUGCUUCCAGGCGUCGAGUGGCGGACGGGUGAGUAAUACUUAGGAAUCUACCCAGUAGCGGGGGACAACUCGAGGAAACUCGAGCUAAUACCGCAUACGCCCUACGGGGGAAAGCAGGGGAUCUUCGGACCUUGCACUAUUGGAUGAGCCUAAGUCGGAUUAGCUAGUUGGUGAGGUAAAGGCUCACCAAGGCGACGAUCCGUAGCUGGUUUGAGAGGACGAUCAGCCACACUGGGACUGAGACACGGCCCAGACUCCUACGGGAGGCAGCAGUGGGGAAUAUUGGACAAUGGGGGAAACCCUGAUCCAGCAAUGCCGCGUGUGUGAAGAAGGCCUGCGGGUUGUAAAGCACUUUCAGUGGGGAAGAAAAGCCUAGGGAUAAUACCCAUGGGUCUUGACGUUACCUACAGAAGAAGCUCCGGCUAACUCCGUGCCAGCAGCCGCGGUAAUACGGAGGGAGCGAGCGUUAAUCGGAAUUACUGGGCGUAAAGCGCGCGUAGGCGGCUUUGUAAGUCGGAUGUGAAAGCCCUGGGCUCAACCUGGGAAUGGCAUUCGAAACUGCAUGGCUAGAGUAUGGUAGAGGGAAGUGGAAUUUCCGGUGUAGCGGUGAAAUGCGUAGAUAUCGGAAGGAACACCAGUGGCGAAGGCGACUUCCUGGGCCAAUACUGACGCUGAGGCGCGAAAGCGUGGGUAGCAAACAGGAUUAGAUACCCUGGUAGUCCACGCCGUAAACGAUGAGAACUAGAUGUCGGGGGAAUUUGUCCUUCGGUGUCGCAGCUAACGCGUUAAGUUCUCCGCCUGGGGAGUACGCCGGCAACGGUAAAACUCAAAGGAAUUGACGGGGACCCGCACAAGCGGUGGAGCAUGUGGUUUAAUUCGAUGCAACGCGAAGAACCUUACCUGCC
rnacentral:rRNA from 1 species